rnacentral:rRNA from 1 species
AUGAAGCGCGCGAGGGAGGAGGAGCCAACCGUCUCGCUGGCGCUGUCCCUCAGCACAGACUCCUCGGCGUCGACCACGACGUCGGACGACUCGGGCACCGGUGCGCCUACGCCGGCGGCGCCCGGGAAGAGGACAAGGCGGAGGAGAGUAGUGGCGACGUCAGGGGAAGGGGACUUCGUCUGCAAGACUUGCGGCCGGGCCUUCGAGACGUUCCAGGCGCUGGGCGGCCACCGGACCAGCCACCUCCGCGGCCGCCACGGGCUGGAGCUCGGCGUCGGCGUUGCCAGGGCCAUCAAGGAGCGGCAAAGGCGCGAGGACAGGCAGCAGCACGACUGCCACAUCUGCGGGCUGGGCUUCGAGACGGGCCAGGCGCUCGGCGGCCACAUGCGUCGGCACCGCGAGGAGAUGGCGCUCGACCGGUGGGUCGCGCUGUCGGAUCAGGAGGCGGGGCACCAGGCCGCCGCCGACCGGCUGCCUGUCUUGCUCGAGCUGUUCGUCUAG